rnacentral:rRNA from 1 species
UACGUAGGGGGCAAGCGUUAUCCGGAUUUACUGGGUGUAAAGGGAGCGUAGACGGCAUGGCAAGUCUGAUGUGAAAGGCUGGGGCUUAACCCCGGAACUGCAUUGGAAACUGCCUAGCUAGAGUGCCGGAGGGGUAAGCGGAAUUCCUAGUGUAGCGGUGAAAUGCGUAGAUAUUAGGAGGAACACCAGUGGCGAAGGCGGCUUACUGGACGGCAACUGACGUUAAGGCUCGAAAGCGUGGGGAG